ensembl:lncRNA
UAGAACAAGACAGAGAGGGGAACACUGAGUUUCAGUGCUACAAUUCAGUUUUUUGGAACUUACAUCCGGUUCCAGUUCAAGAGUAAACGAGCGCAGAUUAAUAGAACUACGUUUUACUAGCGGACCGAAAGUGUUACUGACGGGAAUCUACAGCGUCUUGAGCUGAAUUAAGACUUCAGAAGUCAUUCGUCAUGUCGAAUGACCAGCGGAUAAACUCUCAGGUGAAGAGCCUGAGGCCGGUGACAGUCCAGUUUUACUCUAAGUCGGGGCUCGCAAAAUUUCAAAAUCUCUGGUAGCCCUUCGGGCAG